CCAGGUAGCUCAGUCGGUAGAGCAGUGGACUGAAAAUCCUCGUGUCGGCAGUUCGAUUCUGUCCCUGGCC
rnacentral:tRNA from 2 species